CAAUGACUUAGAUCACCUUGCCACUCUCUUUUCCUUCUCUCCAACUUGUUGUUCCAUAUUUUCUUUCUACGUUGGACUUUCACACACUAAACACAUUUGUUGAGGAGACGGCGUAGAGGAGACAAGCAAUAUCGUUCAACAAUGGAAGAACCUCAAGAUGAUGUGGAGAACACAACUCGGAUCAAGGUGUGCUAUGAUCAUUGAGGCUCCGCGACACAACUGUGGAGCUGCCUUGGGCAUGGGUGGAAUCGGUAAAUAGUACUGUCACCAAAAAACGGCUUGUGUACGACCUUAAAGCAAGCAAUAUAAUGCUUGACAAGAAUUAUAAUGCAAGUUUAGGUGAUUUGGGAUCAGCAUAUGCAGUAGAGAAUGAAAAAACAUCCUAUGAGUUGUACGAGGUACAAUGGGAUACAUCAUACAUGGCACCAGAAUGUUUCCACAUAGGAAGAGCUACAAGAGAACCAGAUGUUUUUUAGAGAUGUCGCAUUGGAAUGAUCGAGUAUUUAUAAGGGCCUUUCAUUAAAAAAAAAGUAUAUAUAAAUGAUGUGUAUAUGUGGAUUCCAUGCGUCAUCCAUUUAAGAACUCU